rnacentral:rRNA from 1 species
AUGGCGUACAAGCUGGAACUUUCAGAGGGCAGCCGCAUCCACCCGGUCUUUCAUGUGUCCCAGAUCAAGCCAUUCACGCCAGACUACUCUCUGGUCUUCUCCGAGCUACCACACACUCUAGACCUCACUGCUGCUCCACUACAGCCGAUGACCAUUCUCGCCCGUCGCCCUGUCAAGAAAGGCAACUCCUCGGUACUACAGGUUCAAGUCCAAUGGUCUUCGCUGUCGCCAGAUUCUGCAACUUGGGAAGACUACACCAUGCUGCAUCACCGAUACCCGAUGGCUCCUUACUGGGAUGAAGACGACGCUUCUGUUCAAGGAGGGGCAAAUGUCACGCCUGAUGCGAAUGCAUCGGUGGACUAG